UUGGACAAUACUUUUCUACACUUUUCAUAAACUUGUAAACCAUGUUGUAGAUGUUGACAUUACUUAUACUGGUCUUUAUAUUAGUUUUCUCUUUGACACCCUACUAGAAUUUCCACCCGAAAUCCCAUCUAUGGUGAGAUUUUUAGUUAACCUAAAUUCCUGGUCAUUAUAUUUCUGAACGAAAGUAUGAUUUCGUAUUCUCUCAUUUUGU